rnacentral:rRNA from 1 species
CAGCAGCCACGGGAACACGAGGGGGGCAAGCGUUGUUCGGAAUUAUUGGGCGUAAAGGGCUCGCAGGCGGUUUCUUAAGUCUGAUGUGAAAGCCCCCGGCUCAACCGGGGAGGGUCAUUGGAAACUGGGAAACUUGAGUGCAGAAGAGGAGAGUGGAAUUCCACGUGUAGCGGUGAAAUGCGUAGAGAUGUGGAGGAACACCAGUGGCGAAGGCGACUCUCUGGUCUGUAACUGACGCUGAGGAGCGAAAGCGUGGGGAGCGAACAGGAUUAGAUACCCCCGUAGUCCCUGUCUCUUAUAC